CUGACUGUUGUGCAAUACUUAAGAGAGUGAACCCAAGUCUCUACAUCUCAUUACAGGUCAAAUAUGAUGAACUGAAAAAGUUGAAGGACAAAAAGAAUCAUAAGACCAUUUGCUACAUUAAUGCUUACAAAGAGGUUAUGGGACCAGUGGUUGAAGCCAUCAAGCCAGUGUUUUCAUCUAAAAUUUGGGAUGACCUGACGCCACAGUUCUACAUCACUUUCUGGUCACUGUCCAUGUAUGACUUGUAUGUUCCUAAAGGUGCUUAUGAGAAACAGAUCUUCUGCAGGAAAAUCAAAUCAGUACAGUGGAAGCUAACAAAGACAUGGUACGUAGACUAGAUGUGAUAUAAUGUUAUUAAUUCUGUAUACUUCAAGAACAUUAAACACAUUUCACAUUAUCAUUCCUUUAUCAUUCUAACCAUUUGUGUUGGCAGCCAAUAAAAGUUUGCCAGACAUUUAAAAUUAAUUGCCACCUCGUUUAAAAAAUAAGUAAGUUCCCUUUU
rnacentral:sRNA from 1 species